CCUACGGGAGGCAGCAGUGAGGCAUAUUGGUCAAUGGCCGAGAGGCUGAACCAGCCAAGUCGCGUGAGGGAAGACGGCCCUACGGGUUGUACACCUCUUUUGUCGGGGAGCAAAGAGAGUCACGUGUGAAUCAUUGAGAGUACCCGAAGAAAAAGCAUCGGCUAACACCGUGCCAGCAGCCGCGGUAAUACGGAGGAUGCGAGCGUUAUCCGGAUGUAUUGGGUUUAAAGGGUGCGCAGGCGGAGGUGCAAGUCAGCGGUCAAAUUGCGGGGCUCAACCCCGUACUGCCGUUGAAACUGCAUCCCUUGAGUGCGCGAGCAGUAUGCGGCAUGCGUGGUGUAGCGGUGAAAUGCAUAGAUACCACGCAGAACUCCGAUUGCGAAGGCAGCAUACCGGCGCGCAACUGACGCUCAUGCACGAAAGCGUGGGUAUCGAACAGGAUUAGAUACCCCAGUAGUC
rnacentral:rRNA from 1 species